rnacentral:lncRNA from 1 species
UACAAUGUUUUCUGUGUAUUUUAGUGAUGUAUUGUUAUUGAGUUGACAUUGAAUACCUAAAUCUUGUUUGCAGGGGCCUCAGGGGAUCCGAGGUGGCCCUGGGCCAGAGGGGCCCUGUGGGGCUGAUGGGGACAGUGGACUGGAUGGCCCUUCAGGUCUAUCAGGGCCGAUGGGUGCACCAGGUUUUACUGGACAAGUUGGUGCUCAGGGAGCUAAUGGCUCAAGGGGAGACAUGGGACCUGCUGGCAGUGUCGGUCCCAUAGGCCCACAGGUAUAUAUUUUAUUAGGUUAUGUAUGCUGUGGUUUUUCAACUUGCUGGAAAUGUUUAGACACUGUGUUUGGUUCCUUCUUUUUUCGAACAGGGGCCUCCAGGUUUAGACGGACAGAUGGGACCUCCAGGACUCAGAGGACCUCAAGUGAGUAGAGUUCAAGACAAGACUGUUAAUGGAGGCUUUGGCUUGUUGGAGUGUUCCCUCAUAUACUUAGCAGCCAGCAAAGAGCAGAAGGUUAAAGUCAACUUGUACAUCUUCACAGGGACAUCCAGGACUGAUGGGUGUUCCUGGACCUAAAGGGGAUCCUGUAAGUUAAUUCUCAGCAAGUUCAUCUUCUUCCACUUUUUUCUUUUGUUUUCUGAACCUCAAAAACGUGCACUGGAGAUCGCAUCAUUUUAGAUUUAAUUGCAAUAAUACUGAUAUUUUGAAGAUUUACAGGAAUGGUUUAGAAUGAUAGAGUACAGCCAACGAGUCAUACAAUAAAAUGUCAGUGUCAAACAGAUUUUACUCACGGGAUUAGUCAGAUUUAGGAAUCCAAACUUGUGCUCCAAGUGUCCUUCUUUGCCAUUUUUUGCCAGUUUAUACAAGAUGUAAGUAGCUGUAAUGAAAAUCAGAAUAUUGGUGCUUUACAUUUGAGGCACAGCCCCAUGCAUUACUGAGGGAGAAAUGAAUGUCAUAUGGAGACAAUUUGCAAACAAAAUGUGCAUUUAUGGGAGUAACUGCCGGGAUUAGCAAAAGAUUUUCUAACAACCACAAAAAAGUUCGAUUUUUCACAGGUGAAGUAACCCGCUAAGCCACUCUAGCUACAAGGUCAAUAUCAUUAAGAGAGCCUUGUUUCUUUUAUGCUGUGAAGACAAACUUUACCUCUCACCAUGAAUAAGUUGUUUUACUCAUACUAAUAUCUAAUUUUCAUUGUGGCUCAUUCAUUGCUAAUUCCCCAAAGUUGUAAAAAAUUGAUAACAAUAAAGAUGGAG